rnacentral:rRNA from 1 species
GAUGAACGCUAGCGGCAGGCCUAAUACAUGCAAGUCGAACGGCGUCUUCGGACAUAGUGGCGGACGGGUGAGUAAUGCGUAGGAAGCUGCCCGAUAGAGGGGGAUACCAGUUGGAAACGACUGUUAAUACCGCAUAAUGUCUACGGACCAAAGUGUGGGACCUUCGGGCCACAUGCUAUCGGAUGCGCCUACGUGGGAUUAGCUAGUUGGUGAGGUAAUGGCUCACCAAGGCGACGAUCUCUAGCUGGUUUGAGAGGAUGAUCAGCCACACUGGAACUGAGACACGGUCCAGACUCCUACGGGAGGCAGCAGUGGGGAAUAUUGGACAAUGGGCGCAAGCCUGAUCCAGCCAUGCCGCGUGUGUGAAGAAGGCCUUCGGGUUGUAGAGCACUUUCAGCGAGGAGGAAGGGGUUGUAGUUAAUAGCUGCAACCUUUGACGUUACUCGCAGAAGAAGCACCGGCUAACUCUGUGCCAGCAGCCGCCGUAAAAC